rnacentral:ncRNA from 1 species
AUUGUUCCAUGGAAUUAGCUUUAAGCCUUUUAUGUUCGGCUUAGGUAGAAGGCGAAGAAGGCCUCCUUCUGGGGGGCCCGAGCCAUCAGUGAGAUACCACUCUAGAAGGGCUAGAAUUCUAAACUUGUGUCAGGACCUACGAUCUAAGGGACAGUCUCAGGUAGACAGUUUUUAUGGGGCAUAGGCCAUCCAAAAGGUAACGGAGGCGUGCAAAGGUUUCCUCAGGCCGAACGGAGAUUGGCCCUGAGUAUAAAGGCAGAAGGGAGCUUAACUGCAAAACCCACCCGUCCAGUAGGGACGAAAGUCGACCUUAGUGAUCUGACGGUGCCGAGUAGAAGGGCCGUCGCUAGGAUAA